CAGUCGCACGGGAAUACGGAGGAUCCAAGCGUUAUCCGGAAUCAUUGGGUUUAAAGGGUCCGUAGGCGGUCUUGUAAGUCAGUGGUGAAAGCCCAUCGCUCAACGGUGGAACGGCCAUUGAUACUGCAGGACUUGAAUUAUUGGGAAGUAACUAGAAUAUGUAGUGUAGCGGUGAAAUGCUUAGAGAUUACAUGGAAUACCAAUUGCGAAGGCAGGUUACUACCAAUUGAUUGACGCUGAUGGACGAAAGCGUGGGUAGCGAACAGGAUUAGAGACCCCAGUAGUCCCUGUCUCUUAUACA
rnacentral:rRNA from 1 species